GAUCUCUGGAGAAUCUCCCAUGUGAGUACCGAAGGUGCAAGACUUCCAGCCGGGAAGUCGAAUCUCUCAGGUUAAAGGACAGAGCCG
rnacentral:ncRNA from 1 species